rnacentral:lncRNA from 1 species
AUAGCCAGUUUUGGUGGAAAUUUUUUUGUUCAAGAUUACAUUUCACGUGUUGUGAGAAGCUCGUUUCUGCUAUAACAGCAGAACCCAAGCUCAGUGCAAGAAAAGCAGCCUAUAUUUCUGCUACAGACCUGGAAUCUGCCAACUGGCUGGAUUCACAUGCCGCCAGAGAAAGGAGAUUGAAGCCAUGUGUCAAGUCUUCUCCUCCAGAAACAGCUCAACAUAAGCCCUUCUGUUAACAGGAAGACUGGCUCAGAAACACCGAAUCAGCAGUAUCAUGUGCAAACAUAAAACGAGGCAAUGGCUUUGGUAUCAGGAUGAUGGCGGCCUCCUAAAAUGAGUUAGGGAGGAUUCCCUCUUUUUCUAUUGACUGGAAUAGUUUCAGAAGGAAUGGUAUCAACUCCUCUUUGUACCUCUGGUAGAAUUCAGCUGUGAAUACAUCUGGUCCUGGACUUUUUUUGACAGAUAGCUGUUUCUGUUGCUUGCAACCAAAUACCCUGAUUGUUGAAAAGCCAACAAUUCAAAACUCCAAAAUCUACUGUAGACUGGAGCUCUUCCUGGGGACUCUUCUGUUCCUCAACAGGCUCUGAAAGCUUCCUGGUCAUUUUGAAGUUGGAAGACUCAAUUUUGAACCACUCUCAGGCAGAAGAGAAGAGUCACUAUCCAUUGUGAUCAAAAGAAUACCUGCCGGCAGAUGAGCCACAUGCCUCAGCAGUCCAGACUUCCGUGGCGACCUCCACGGGCAAGCCUAUGCACUGGGUGCCCAGCAUGCCCUCAGGAGUGGCUGAGGCUACUGGCUGUCACAGGGCAAGGUUGUGGGAAGCCUGAAGCUGGUGGGAGGGGCACACGCAGGUGGUUCUGAGCUGAGCCUGAGUGAGUGCUACAUGAAGUAUUGUAUUUAUGUUAAAACCCACUGUUCUUAGACACUGGGCUCUGAGUCUCUCAGAAGUAGAUUUAUCCUAAGAGAUAUGUAAAUCUAUAUGAACUCCAACCUAUAUUUUUAAAUAAAAUCAAUAUGAUUCCCCUUGUAUAUUUUACUACUUUCUUUCUAAUUUGUGUCAAUGCUGCACUGAUCAAUAAAUUACAAAUUCUUACACAGAAA